CCUACGGGGGGCAGCAGUGGGGAAUAUUGGACAAUGGGGGGAACCCUGAUCCAGCCAUGCCGCGUGUGUGAAGAAGGCCCUCGGGUUGUAAAGCACUUUCAGUGAGGAAGAACGCCUGGUGGUUAAUACCCAUCAGGAAAGACAUCACUCACAGAAGAAGCACCGGCUAACUCCGCGCCAGCAGCCGCGGUAAUACGGAGGGUGCGAGCGUUAAUCGGAAUUACUGGGCGUAAAGCGCGCGUAGGUGGCUUGAUAAGCCGGUUGUGAAAGCCCCGGGCUCAACCUGGGAACGGCAUCCGGAACUGUCAAGCUAGAGUGCAGGAGAGGAAGGUAGAAUUCCCGGUGUAGCGGUGAAAUGCGUAGAGAUCGGGAGGAAUACCAGUGGCGAAGGCGGCCUUCUGGACUGACACUGACACUGAGGUGCGAAAGCGUGGGUAGCAAACAGGAUUAGAUACCCCAGUAGUC
rnacentral:rRNA from 1 species